rnacentral:tRNA from 1 species
AAGUAAGAAGCAAAAAUUUGCACCUAAUUUCGACCUAGGAGAAUGACAUUAUUAGUCCUUACUUA